GCAAACUUGGUCAUUUAGAGGAAGUAAAAGUCGUAACAAGGUUUCCGUAGGUGAACCUGCGGAAGGAUCAUUACAAAUCUUUGAGGGUGUUAGGGAAUAAGGAUUUAUUCUCUGCGCCCACAUUAGCACGGUGCUGUAGAGAGAAGAGGAGGGUGGAGGGUUCCUCCCACCACUCGCUGCGCGCCGAUGUUCACGCUUGUUUGUUUGACAAAUCUCUGUUACAUUAUACCAUAUACAACUUUUAACAAUGGAUCUCUUGGCUCUUGCAUCGAUGAAGAACGCAGC
rnacentral:misc_RNA from 1 species